rnacentral:tRNA from 1 species
UCCCUGGUGGUCCAGUGGUUAAGAGUCUGUGCUUCUAUUGCAGGGGGUGCAGGUUUGAUUCCUGGUCAGGGAG